UUUACUCCUGAUUACAAUAUGGUCAGAGUCACUGGUUUCACACUGGACAACAAAACACAAGCCGCCACUGAUCCACUGAUGUACAGGUGGAGUAUAAGGAGUGGAGGAAGCAGAUAAAAUGUAUGAAGCACUAAUUGAUCAGCAGUGAUUUGUGAAAUUGUGCAUAUUUUAAUUAUGAUUUUUUAAAUAGAAACUGAAGCACAGAUCUCAUCUCCUGUGGAUAAAAAUCAGCAGAACCAGAAUGAAUCUCUAAAUACACAUAUUAAGUCAACUGUACCAACAGAUACAAAUCAAACGUCUGAUCCAGAGGAGACGUCACGUCUAACUCCAGUGUGUGUGAGAGCAGAGGUCAGUCAGCAGGAAUCAUCUGAACAUCAGAAUCCUGAAACACUGG